GAUGAACGCUGGCGGCGUGCCUAAUACAUGCAAGUCGAGCGAACAGACGAGGAGCUUGCUCCUCUGACGUUAGCAGCGGACGGGUGAGUAACACGUGGAUAACCUACCUAUAAGACUGGGAUAACUUCGGGAAACCGGAGCUAAUACCGGAUAAUAUAUUGAACCGCAUGGUUCAAUAGUGAAAGACGGUUUUGCUGUCACUUAUAGAUGGAUCCGCGCCGCAUUAGCUAGUUGGUAAGGUAACGGCUUACCAAGGCGACGAUGCGUAGCCGACCUGAGAGGGUGAUCGGCCACACUGGAACUGAGACACGGUCCAGACUCCUACGGGAGGCAGCAGUAGGGAAUCUUCCGCAAAGGGCGAAAGCCUGACGGAGCAACGCCGCGUGAGUGAUGAAGGUCUUCGGAUCGUAAAACUCUGUUAUUAGGGAAGAACAAAUGUGUAAGUAACUAUGCACGUCUUGACGGUACCUAAUCAGAAAGCCACGGCUAACUACGUG
rnacentral:rRNA from 1 species